rnacentral:rRNA from 1 species
AGAGCGAACGCUGGCGGCAGGCCUAACACAUGCAAGUCGAGCGCCCGUAGCAAUACGGGAGCGGCAGACGGGAUAGUAACACGUGGGAACGUACCCUUCAGUUCGGAACAACCCAGGGAAACUUGGGCUAAUACCGAAUACGUCCGUAAGGAGAAAAGAUUUAUCGCUGAAGGAUCGGCCCGCGUCUGAUUAGCUAGUUGGUGAGGUAAUGGCUCACCAAGGCGACGAUCAGUAGCUGGUCUGAGAGGAUGAUCAGCAUCACUGGGACUGAGACACGGCCCAGACUCCUACGGGAGGCAGCAGUGGGGAAUAUUGGACAAGUGGGCGCAAGCCUGAUCCAGCCAGUCGCCGGCGUGGAUGAUGAACGGCCCGUAAGGGUUGUAAAGUUCCGUUUACGGAACGGGUAAGAGUAAGU